ACGAACGCCAGUGAUUGCAUCAACACGUUUGGCUCCUUUCGGUGCAUUUGUCCACCUGGGUUUACUGGAGACCUCUGCAAGGAUGGUUGUAUUAAGAUAUCCGACAUAUACAAUGUUCUUAUGAAGCAUUUAGAUAAACCCGUCAAAGUGAAAUCACAAUUAUUGCAAAAUGUUGAAAAUAAAAAUCAAGUAGUUGUAGACGUGAACUUAACUGUUAAAGCUGGCAUGAAAAAUGAUCAUUAGUACUAACAUUUCCUAUCUCUCUCACACUACUAUCAUAUUAGUUUUCGAUAUCUAUUGUUACGUUAACCUCUAUACACUCUCCAUACGAGGGCUGUACGAUAUGGAAUGUGUAUUGCACGAUUUCUUGAAUAGUUCUAUUCAAUACCUUACAAAUGGUGUAGACACAAGGAUUCAGCUCCACAACAGUACUAAACUUGUAAACAUUUCAAUAUUUGUAGCUCCAGUUGACCACUGUUUUAAAAUGGCCAGGAAAGGGGUUUAACAUAUCGAAGAAAUCAGAGCUUACAUUAAACUUUGCAUAAACAAUUUUCAUUCGGUUAUGUUGAUUUUACUAUUCAAGUCGAAAUAAUUUUGAGAUUACAUACAAUACACAUUGCAUAUUGAACAACCCCUCGCACGAGGACUGGAAAACUAUUAGUAUACAUCUUUCAACGGAUACAUGCAUCAUACAUGUAUAUAUCCAAUACUUACAUUGGACGGAUAGAAUUGAAAUGAAGGGUAGAAUGUUGUAGAAUGUUUAUCAUGUCAGUUAGUCAUUUAAGUAUCUCGCUACAUUCUAAGAGGUUCCAAUGUAGAGUUACAAUGUACUGAGCGGCGGAUUACGUUGUUUACACAUUCUAAAGUACGACUUUUUACGGGAAGCUUGUACAAUAGUUUAUGUCCGUUUGGAUGCUAAAUAUUUUAUCCCUCCCCCUCUCAAUUUUUUAUUAUGUAUGUAUUAACAUCAUUAAAAAUUAAAUUAAUUCAUUAGUGGUCAAUAUGUAUAUUUAGUCCGUAAUCAGUGAAUUAUGCCAUAUCAUGAAAUCGUUCUCAAUGCACAUCACAUGAGAUACACGGAAAUUAAUUUAGAACACAUAGAAAGACUGAUUUCAGAAUAUAGAGUGACAAAUCAGAUCCAUUUUGGGUGGACUUAAUUGGCCUUUUUACAUGCAUACAACAUUUCGUAGCUUAAAUUUGAGUUGUGUUAUCUUCAUGCACAUUUGAUGUCGUCAAAUGUCAAUGCAUCAUUAUUAAGUUCAGUUUCUCUUUAUUCCUUGUUGUUCUGUUAUCUAAGUAACAAUACGUAAAUUGGUUCAUUUAAGAUAUGUGUAGGUUAUCUCAUUUAAUAUCUGUUUUCAAAUUCAAAUAGGGUUCAAUUUAACACCCGUCCCACCCUUAUCGAUUUAAUUCGCCGCCCUAGUAUAAACUACCUUCCGAUGCCCCUGUGACAAAUGAGCCUGGAUGUCUGUUCUCUAAGUACUUUGAUUUGAGCAGAAUACAUUUGAUAUAAAGAUUCACGCUAUGGCCAUUGAAAGAAUUGGUUUUCUGAUAUUUUUACAGAUGUGGAUGAAUGUUCUGAUGCGAGUCUUGGAAAUGAAUCGCUUUGUUUUAAUAAUGGAUCUUGCGUAAACAAUCUUGGGUCUUACACAUGUAAUUGCUCAGCAGAAUGGACCGGCUCAAGAUGUGAGAUAGAUGUUGACGAGUGCAUCCGAAAUGUUUGCCCCUUGAACACAUCCAAAAGCUGUAUCAACACAUGUGGGUCCUUUCACUGUGUCUGCAUGAGUGGAUGGACUGGGAAUCUGUGCUUGGAAGAUAUAAAUGAAUGUGAAAAUAACACAAUGUGCCUCAAUGGUGGUAUAUGUCACAAUACCAAUGGAUCCUUUGUCUGCAACUGUACCGCUGAAUGGGGAGGACCAUUGUGUGAUUACCCUAUAUUGUAUGCCGAACGAAUUAUAUAUUGGAACAACCCAGAAAAUCACAAAAGACAAAUUGAAAAUCUCAAUGCUAGUCUUCAACAAAUCAAAUCUAACCUCACUAUCGACAAAAGCCUCUUAACCUCGGAAAGAAUAAAAAGAAUCAGUGCCCUUGAUCAUCGGACGUCCGCAGCGAUCACUGGAUACAUCGGUGCCGGGGUGUUGUCGUUUGUAUUUGGGUUGUUGCUCUGCUUUGAUAUAACUGUUUGCUGUACAGUAAAGAAAUUCAAGAGAUAGAAAAGCUCAGAAAUAAACCUUAAAAUAUUCAUGGUUUUCCUCUGAUAAAAUCAAUCGUUUUUACGUGUGUCUGUGUGUGGAUCAGCAAACUUCACAUACCUUCUCUAUUUAACGAUAUUUAAAAAUUGCAGUUUACAUUUAAUCAAUGUCCUUUGACAUUCAGUAGAACGAUUCAUAUUUGCACAAAUGUGAAAGUUUAUUCCGGUAUAUCUAUCCAACCAUGAUUUAAUUGUAUAAACUGAUUGUUUAGUCAAUAUUAAAAGAAAUGCAGAGUGAUUAAGGUGUUUUUUUAAAGUAUAGAUGUGUGCCAUAGCAGAUAAUAACUUGAUGUGAUAUAAUCAAUUAGACGACAUGCGGUCAUUGCGUUUUGAAAAUUCAAGAUUUUUUGUCCAACCUAGUGUCCGCACAAAAGAAUUUGGUGAUAAACAGUUUGACGGAAGUGCAGCUGUACGGCAGAUCUAGGGCAUGAACAACAUCCAUGUGGUUUGAGGAAAAAAACACCCAUUCAAAAAUGCAUGAUGAACUCGUCCUACACUUUUCGUUAAUUAAUCAAUCCGCGUCCUUUGUUACCCCGUUCUGGAAAGUUCUACCCAAUUCUCUCACCAGAGGUCGUGCUGUGCAAGCGAAUGAGUAUUAAAACUAAAAUCGCCCACUAAAAAAACGAAUUGACUCAUUUUAUUUAUUCAAUAUUUGUCAAAUCUUAACGUCUAUGUAUUCUUCAAAUAGGCUAACAGUAAAUAUAUUCACUCUUUACGUAAUCAUUCAAUAUUAUUUAAUUGCAAGUAUAUAUUUUAAUCGAGACUAUCCCUGACUUGGAUCCGCUAAUGUGUGUCCACCUUCUUACUCUCGUUUUUGCUAAUUCGGGCUUGUUUAUCGAAAAUGAAAGAAGGUUUUUGAUUAAUUUCCUAAUAAUAACUUAUCAGUUAAAAUCAGAUAUACCUAACGGACAGCAUCACACGUGUUUAAAUACCAAAGGUGUGAGCAAGUACUCUGGUGCAGGCAUUUUGUAGUUUGUUUUUUUUUUGGCAAAAUGCCUUAAUUUAUAAGUACGAGAUUCGAUGAUGUCCAUCUCAAAGAUGUAGAAUCGCAUAAACUAACUGAGUAACUAUAAGUAACAAUCUGUCGUGGAACUAACAUAUCAAACAACAUUUGUGUUAAUAAUUGUAUUUCUGUGUUGAAUGCUAUAAUUCUAUAUGCUUAUUUAUUGUAUUUUUCAUGUUUAUGUUUGAUUAGAUAUGUUGCAUUUCUUUCCCAAACCUUGUAGAGGUCGUUGGCCAAUUUCCCUUCAGUGGUCACUGUCCAAGUCUAUUUUUAGCCAAAUUCCCUAGUCUAAAAACCUCCCAGUGACCUAUUAUGUAAUUAAAAAAUAAUAUGGUGUAAUUCUCCCCAAAUUAAAUUUGAUAGCCAAUCAAAUUAAACGAUAUGGUCACGUGAUUUGAUCCGGUCAGUAUCUGACCAGUGAGAGUAGGGUCAUUCUGUCUUCAUCUCUGAGAGUGUAAGCACAAGUAAUGUUUUGAUACACCCACCUCCAUCCCCGUUUCACCAAUCCAAUAUUUGAAAGUUGCAUAUAUAUACAAAAUAUUGUUAUUCUGUAUAUUUUAUUUUUGAGGUGCCAUCUUUUUGCUGGUUUUGUAUAUAUUGUAUAUAAUUUUGAACGAAAUAUUGUUUUUCUGUAAUUUAAGGGGAUCAGCAUAUUAAUAAGUUAUUUAACGUUUAACAUUUUGUGUGAGCAGUUUUGGGGUCUGAUACCCUACUAUGUUGAUUAUAUUUUUCUUUACUUUCUUCAGUUUUA